GAUGAACGCUAGCGGCAGGCUUAACACAUGCAAGUCGAGGGGUAGAGGGUGCUUGCAUCCUUGAGACCGGCGCACGGGUGCGUAACGCGUAUGCAACCUGCCUUUCACAGGGGAAUAGCCCAGAGAAAUUUGGAUUAAUGCCCCAUGGUAUCUUCGGAUGGCAUCAUCCGAUUAUUAAAGUAACAACGGUGAAAGAUGGGCAUGCGUCCCAUUAGUUAGUUGGUAAGGUAACGGCUUACCAAGACGAUGAUGGGUAGGGGUCCUGAGAGGGAGAUCCCCCACACUGGUACUGAGACACGGACCAGACUCCUACGGGAGGCAGCAGUGAGGAAUAUUGGUCAAUGGGCGCAAGCCUGAACCAGCCAUGCCGCGUGCAGGAUUAAGGCCCUAUGGGUUGUAAACUGCUUUUGUACGGGAAGAAACAGGGGUUCGUGAACCCCCUUGACGGUACCGUAAGAAUAAGGAUCGGCUAACUCCGUGCCAGCCGCCGCCGUAACAC
rnacentral:rRNA from 1 species